rnacentral:rRNA from 1 species
AGCAGCCGCGGUAAUUCCAGCUCCAAUAGCGUAUAUUAAAGUUGUUGCAGUUAAAAAGCUCGUAGUUGAAUUUCGGGAUCAAUUUAUCGGUCGUGCCUAUGGUAUGAACUGGUACAAUUGGUUUCUCCCUUCUGACGAAGCAUGAUAUCAUUAAUUUGGUGUCGUGGGGAAUCAGGACUGUUACUUUGAAAAAAUUAGAGUGUUUAAAGCAAGCAUUAGCUUGAAUACAUUAGCAUGGAAUAAUGAAAUAGGACGUUUGAUCCUAUUUCGUUGGUUUCUAGGAUCGACGUAAUGAUUAAUAGGGAUAGUUGGGGGCAUUAGUAUUCAAUUGUCAGAGGUGAAAUUCUUGGAUUUAUUGAAGACUAACUACUGCGAAAGCAUUUGCCAAGGAUGUUUUCAUUAAUCAAGAACGAAAGUUAGGGGAUCGAAGACGAUCAGAUACCGUCGUAGUCUUAACCAUAAACUAUGCCGACUAGGGAUCGGAUGAUGUUAAUUUUUUAAUGACUCA